GUGUAUUAUCAAAGAAGAUUCAACAUUCAAAUGACAUUCCAUGGAGCAGAUGGCUAAAACAUAGGUUUGGAACAAAAGGCCAGACCUACAGAGGGUGCACAUGGUUUGUGAAAGGUGGUCAGAAGAAUAUCCGAGGAGUGCACCUGCCUCAUCCCAAAAGACAAAGCCAGCAACAUCCUCAAAGUUUAUUCAUUAAUGAUCCUUCCGCAGGUUCACCUACGGAAA
rnacentral:misc_RNA from 1 species